rnacentral:rRNA from 1 species
AGCACCGUGGACGACGACGAGGCGUGCGAGCUGGUGAGGGGCACAGACGUCGUCAUCGGGCAGGGCGACGACGAGAGCGUCCGCGCCUACCUCCUCGAGGCCGUCAAGAACAACAACGGCACCUGCGUCCUCUUCCUCUCCGACGUCUUCGGCUUCGAGGACUCCGCCACCCGGGACUUCGCCUACCGCAUCGCCUGCCACGGCUACAACGUUCUGGUGCCGGACCUGUUCCGCGGGAACCCGUGGAAGAAGAGCCUGCCGAUGGAGGGGUUGCAGGAGUGGCUCGCCGAGCAGGCCCCGGAGAGGGUGGCCGGCGACAUCGACACGUGCAGGAAAUGGCUUGUUGACGACUUCUUGGCGGCGGAACCGUCCAAGAAGCUGGGCGUGGUCGGGUUCUGCUACGGGGGCGGCCGCCUCGUGGAGACGCUGGCGCGCGACGCCGGCGCCUGCUUCAGAGCGGGCGUCUGCUUCUAUGGGUCCCGGAUGGACGCGUCGCUCGGGGCACAGAUCACCGCGCCGGUGCUGUUCGUGUGCGGCGACGGCGACCCGCUGUGCCCCGUGGAGACGGUGCGGGAGCUGGAGAGGAGCGCGAGGGGCGCCAAGGCGGCCGUGUACGCCGGCAGGGGCCACGGGUUCGCGCACCGGCCGGAGUCGCUGGAGGACGACGGCGACGCCGAGGACGCGUUCGCGAUGAUGAAGAGCUGGUUCCACGACCACCUGCUUGCUUGA